CCGGCGGGCGCACGGCUCCGAGCCCAGCGCAGCCGAGCCGGUCUGCAGAGGGGCCCCCAGAACUUUGUGUGUGUGUGUGCACGCGCGCGCGUGUGUGCCCAGGUGCGAGGGUUCGCGCGUGUGCUGGCGGGGAGGGAACCGACCCGAAAGAGAGCCCCACGCUGGCAAAGUGGCUCGCCCAUCUCACAGCCGGUUGGCGCUCGCGGAGCUCUUUAUUUUCCAUGUGUGAGCCUGUGCCUGUGGUUUAUCUCUGGAGGAUGUGCCUGAGGGAGGAGACAUAUACUGCCUGGACUGCCUGGCUGAUGUGAGCUAGUUUGUCUGGUUGAGUUGGAUGUUUAAAUAGAAGGCAGAACAACAACAGAAGCUUUGAGGAAGAGCCAUAACUACCUGGAGCAGAAUGAUUAUUUGGAGCCACAGAAAAUCAUUUUAGGGAGCAGUGGGUCCAGGUUCAGUGUUGUGUGUUCAACUCGGAAAGAACACAGUUGGGUGGCUGACCGGGUUACUUCUCCCCUGUGGCUCUGCUUGCAUUGGUCAUUGAGGUCAGGCAGGGGUUUGGCCACAGUGUUAGCCAUUGGCCCUGCAUUGAUCCUCACAUAGUAACAUCUUGUUUGGUUAUUAAAGUGACUGAAUUGUU
rnacentral:lncRNA from 1 species